rnacentral:lncRNA from 1 species
AUAAUAAGAGGAUAAUAUGAUUAUUUUUUAUUUAUAAAAGUCACUAUCUUUCUUAUUCUAUCUUACCUAACCAAACGCUAUUUUUUUUAUUCACAGGAAUAACUCAAUUUUCAUCCAAACGCAAAAUUGAUCUAAUUCUCGCUUAUACCUCAAUUUAUACCUAUUCUUAGAAUAACCAUUUUUUUCUUAUUCUCGAACCAAACGAUACCUAAGGGGCUAUUUAGUUGGACAUAACUAUAAGAGCACGUUUGGUUCGCACUAUGAAAGAUUACUAGGAGUAAAAAGAUAUCCGAGAAUUUUAUUCCUAUUCAUCUAAGAAUGUGGCAUUCAUGUGUUUGGUUCGCACGGUUAUAUUAUUUAGUCAUGUUAUUUAAGUUUACAAAAAAUAUACAAUUAAUUAAUUUAUUUCUUUAAUUAAUUUUAGAUAAUGCUAUCAAAAAUUUCAACAUCUUUUUAAAAAAAAUGAAGAAAAAAGAUAUGAGGUUAGAGUGUAAAAGAUAAUAAUACUAACUAGCCGGCGGGUAGGGAGAAAGAAAGAUAUUAGACAUAUUAUGAUUACUCAAUUUAUUAAUAUGAGCAUACCCACUCUCCCGCAAGGGAAUGAGAUUAGUACUUUGGGAUGAAUCUGAUUCCCAAGUGAAUCUAAUAUUAUCAACUAGAUUACUUAGUGCGUUUAGCCAAACACCGUCAUAUUUUUUUAUUCCCAUUGGAUUACUAGGAAUCUUUAAAAGAUAGCGCGAACCAAACGCACCCUAAAUGCAAUGUAUUUAAAGAUGCAUAUAGUUGAAAUUAAGCAAAGUAAUUAUAAUCACAUAUUUCUUAUUUGGUUGAAUAUAAUAAAAAAUACUGUAAUUAUAAAUAAUUUGUUUUUAGUUGUAUACAGUUGCAAAGUGCAAUUAUAAAUUUUUUCUACUUUAUAUAUGAGAUAGUGAGAUUAUCUCCUAUAUAGUUAAAAAAAAAUAUUUUCUGUUUAAAAUGUGAUUAUAUAGGUAAGUUUAUCUUUCAUUUAAAGUUGUUUUUACCCAACUGCUGUAGUCGGAACUACGCCCAAUUUGGUCGUAGAGAAGAUUACAAAGUUGAAUUUAGAUGCAUCAAACCAAACACCGAAUUUCAACCUAUAUGUAGUUACAACAGUAAUACAAUUACAACUGCGUGCAACCAAACAACCCUUAAAGUUCUGUUCGGAUAUCAAAAUAAGUUAUUUUCCAUAUAAAAAAUUUAUAAUUUGGUUAUAAGUAAGGAGUUUGAUUUUUACUCCUUCAAAAAUUUUGCUAUUCAUAAUUUGAUAAGAUAACAUAUUUUAUCUAUGAAAUAAUUUAUCUUAUUCAAAAAAUUAAUUUGAAUGUGAAAUAUAAUAUCC